UCCCUCUGGAACUACUACGAAAUCCAAUGCAAAUAGAAGCAAAGUUGAGUGCAUCUGCAUGUUCACCAACGAUUUGGUGAAUGAUGAAAUGGGUACUGUUGAAGACUAUCAACAAGACUAACUUUCCAUCAACUUGCGACCAAUUCAUCACAAAUACUCAACCUCAAAUCUGCUAUUAAUAUCAUGACGCCAUAACUGCUACGAACGAGAAGAAUCUCACCUUCGCUACAUUUGUCUGAGACUAACCUCGAAUUUCAUGAUACCAGUUAAUAAUUGGACGCCGUUUGUGCAACUGAUAACAUCACAGUGGCAGUCUGUUUGAAGAUCCAGACCAGCUCUGAAGCUGUGUAUCUGUUUGACUGGCAAAGGAUGUGAUCUGGUCUUGUAAAAGUUAGAGCAGGGCAAGAUUCUCUUUUGGUGGAAUGG
rnacentral:lncRNA from 1 species